UACGUAGGGUGCGAGCGUUGUCCGGAAUUACUGGGCGUAAAGAGCUCGUAGGUGGUUUGUCGCGUUGUUCGUGAAAACUCACAGCUUAACUGUGGGCGUGCGGGCGAUACGGGCAGACUGGAGUACUGCAGGGGAGACUGGAAUUCCUGGUGUAGCGGUGGAAUGCGCAGAUAUCAGGAGGAACACCGGGUGGCGAAGGCGGUUCUCUGGGAAUGUCCUGACGCUGAGGAGCGAAAGUGUGGGGAGCGAACAGG
rnacentral:rRNA from 1 species